GGGCUUCCUAGGGCCGCGGUGGCGUCGCCAGCGGAGAAGGGGACCCUGUGGCCCGAGGGUGGGAGUAUCUGCAGGUUGUCUUAGGGGGACUGGGCGACGAACGCCCCCGAUUCUUUCUCUGCAAUCCUUCCUUCUGGUCCGAAAAGGGCUGGGCAAGGGGACCCCGGGAUGGAGCGUCCGCGCCACUCUUCCGGCAUCAGGGGACUAACGGACGGCGGCGUCUGAGCUUCUACUGCGGGGGCCUCGUGGGGGCUUGUUUUCUCCCCGACCAACUGAAAAACCUAGGCGGGGCGCGGGGGAGUGAAGAUUUCAGCCUGUUGGGGUCCUGGGAGCUGAGCACUCGGGUGGGGCUAGGCCGUGGCGGGUGCGGAGGUGGCCGCGGGUGCCGAGGUGGCCUGGCGGCCGGGGCUUUGUUCCUGAAAACCCUUAAGUGGAGGGCGAUGUGGGGCGCGGUUGGGGGAAACUUGAGGGGGCUCUGCUCUUCCAGCUAGGAACCUGCCAAACUCCUAGCCUCUCCCAUGGGAUCUUCAGAAUGCCCCAGCUAAGAAGGGGGCUUUCUGAGGGCUCCGGCGACGUGACGUUGAAGGUCUUCCUGUGUCUUCUGUAAAGAAACGUUCACGUGGGAGCCUGUCCUCGUGGGCUGCCUUUAAGGAGCCGGCACGUGGAAGAAAGAGCCCAGUAGGACCCGCUGCCCUCAGUUGCAAGGGGUCCUUCACUCAAGUACCUGUUAUAAGUGAUGAAGAGUGACACAAAACAAGUUUAAAAGAAAAAAAAGUGAACCUAUUAUUUAUUUUAUUUGUCUUUUUCACUGUUGCAUUCCAGUUCACCUUGCAACUGAGUCAUCCCUGGAGCAAAAGUAGCAUGUGGCAGGUUUAUGUUCUGUUUUCAUUUUGGAUGUGUAUCUAAAUUGUAUAUGGUUAAAAAAAAAAUAGCAAAUAAUACAUUGGAAAAGCUGGAGCCUUAAGUUAAUGGUAGUAAUGAAAUUGAAAGACUUGACUCCUGUGUACUGUUUUAUAUUAGGACUCCCUGUGUACAAAUUGAGGACCCCACUGUGAGUCAGUCAUUUUUUUCUGGUCCUUGGGAAUCCGUGCCUGACGACGCACAUCCUACGUGCACUGAACAUUCCACUAGGGAGAGAAACGAACGAUAUAAAUUGUGGGAGAUAAAUCCUGUAAAGAAAAUAAAACCACGUGUUGACAGGCAUUUUUAACAUUCUUGUGUAGUGAAACUCAGACUAAUGUGUUUUGUGUUUUGUUUUAUUUUUGUGAUACUAAAUAUUUUUGACCCCAGGGCUUGGUUCGUGUUAGGCCAGUGCUCUGCCACUGAGCAACAUCCCCAGCUCAAGACUAAUGGUUUUUAAAUGUAAUAAAAUACGAAGGGUUACAACAAAAACCAAUUGCAUAGAAAUAGUUAUUGAGUUGUUAAAUAUUUAUGAUGAAGUAAUUCAUGUUUUAGUAAAUAAAUACCAACAGAAGUGGCUGAUCUAAUGACUAAUUUGAAACUAAUGGAGAACUGUAAAUGAUUUUUUAAAGAAUGAUUUUUUUUUUCCUGGAUAUUUCCUUUUGCUAUAAUUUUGCCUUCUACAUGAAUACUAAAGGAAUGACUACAUUUCAGUGAUUAUAUUUACCCUACCCCAUUUCACAAACCUGCAUUCUGCCAGUGGACUCUUUGUUUAGAAUCCCUGUGCAAGGAUGACUUUGGUACUACGUUUUUCAAAAAUGGUUAGGGAAGAGCUCUUCUGAUGUGACAUCAGAAAUAUAUUGCACAAUAAGCUGUGCAGGUCUAGUAUCCCUUAUCCAAAAUGCUUGGGACCAAAAAAUCUAUUUAAAAAAAUAUUUGCACAUACAUAAUAUCUUGGGGUGGGACUCAAACCUAAACAAAAUAAUUUAUAUUUCAUAUGGGCCUUACACACAGCCCAAAUAAUUUUAUAUGUUUUUCUUGUAUUUGCUUUUUGACUGGGACCUGUUAAACAAGAGGUGAUUUGUGAAUACAUUGUGCCAUAUUAAUGCUAAAAAUAUUCUGGAUUUUCAUUUUGGGGAUGGUCAACCUAUUUUAGGUUUUCCUGUUACCAGUUUAUAUUCCACUAACAGCUUCAAAGCUGACAUAAAUUUUCCUCAUCUAAAUUUUUUUUUUUUUUAGUUAAAUCUUUAUUUUACUUAUUUACAUGUGGUGCUGAGAAUUGAACACCAGUGCCUCAGACAUACCAGGCAGGUGCUCUACUGCUGAGCCAUAGCCCAGCCCCAAAUUUUCCUCAUUUUUGAGCACCUGAUUUGAAGUACUUUGAGGAGGCUUUGAGUUUCCUCUAUGGGUACUGCUCUAGGGUUUUUUUUUUUUUUUCCUUAGAUGCUUUAUGGAGAAGAUAGGAUAUGAAUAUUAUAGCAAUAGAAAUUAUUCAGCAGCUGGUAUGAUCAUUUGCUUUUUUGUUGUUUUUUAAAUAGUACUGUGCUUAGAACCCAGGGGUGCUCUGUCAUUGAGUUACAUCCUCUUUUUUAAAUUUUGAUAUAGGUUCUUACUAAGUUUCCCAUGCUUCCUUGCUUUUCAGUCUUCAGCCUCCCUAGUAGCUGGGGUUACAGAUGUGCAACACCAUACUGGUAGAUCAUUUGUGCUUUUUUUUUUUUUUUAAAUUGGCACCAGCGAUUGAACCCAGGGACGUUUCACCACUAAGCCGCAUCCCAAGCCCUUUUUAUUUUUUAUUUUAAGACAGAAUUGCUUAGGACCUUGCUAAAUUGCUGAUGCUGGGUUUGAACUUGAGAUUCUCCUGCCUCAGCCUCCUAAGUUACUGGUAUACACAGGUGUAAUACCGCCUGGCUCACAUUUGCUUUUAAUUAAAAAAAAUUUUACUUUAUUCUCCCAAGUAAUUGGAACAAAUUUAGGGCUUUGGAGUGAGAUUAAAAGUUCACAACUUGGGUCUGCUGUUAACUUGUUUGGUUUACCUUGAGUCAGUUCCCUUAAUCUUAUUUGUAAACUUCUAACUACUGUAAAAUUUACUAUGAGUUUUUUUGUGACUGUUAAAUGAUAAGAUGAUCCAAAAUGCUAUAAGCACUUAAUUCAUUUUACCUUUUCUACACAAGUGUUUCCCUAUGAUGAUCUGUAGUUGUUGAAGGACUCCUUUCUCUUUUUCUUUUACCUUCAUAUGUGAUAACCACCCCUCAAAAUGAGAUUUGAUAGUUUCUUAGUGGGCCUUUGCGAGGAUACAGUUAUCCAUCCUAUUUUUUUGUCCUGUUAACUCAUAUGUAAGAACCAUAGGAUUUUUCCUCCCUUGUUUCUAUUCUAUAAUUUCAUGUGUACAUUUCAUAUCCCCUGCCAAACUAAAUUCCUUAAGCUGGGGGAGGCAUACUCUAAAGCUUAUAGUCACAUAGUAUUCAUUACACAUUCAUUGUAUGUGCAAAUUGUCAAACCCUUUAAUCAAGUUCAAAAUGUUAAUUGAAACAAUUUAAAUUUAGCAUUAACCUAAGGGAGAAACUUUGGAUUAAAAUGUCAGCCUUAUGUAUAUAGUGCUUCCCUCAAGAAUGGAAAUGCCAUGAGUUUUGUUUUAUAUCAGAGGGACAUUAUCACUGGUGCAUUUUAAACUGUGAUUCACACGUUGGAUGUAAAAGAAACUAAACAGAAAAUGAAAGAGAAAAGUAGGCAGUCAAAACAAGUUUCUUGCAUUAUAACAAGUUUAAUAAUCUUAGGCCAUAUUCAUUAUAGUUUAAUAUUUUAAAAAAUACACUUUAGGCAGAGAAGAUGUAAUUCAGUGGUGGAACUCUUAUCAUCUCAUCACAACAAAAAAGAAAGGGAAAGAAAAAAAGUUUACAUGUCCAGACUGCCAGAGUAAACCUCAUGCAGUUUUAUGCUGCCCCCUAGUGUUUGUUUCUCCUUAAAGUUUUCUUGAACACAAUUUACAAUUUCACUUACACAUGUUCCCAAAAUGAGAUACCCUUUAAGAUACCAAUUACGUUUAGUAUCUCAUAUCUAAGCUAGCUUUGGGUUUUCUUCAGCUGAUUAGUAUUGCUAGUAAAAUGGACAUAACCUUUUAAAAUUGGUUAAUUUUGAUUACUUUUAGCCUUCUGUUUUCCGACUAGGGAACAAAUUGGGUGUGGAGGUGGAACUAUAUAACAUCACCAAAUGACCUUGCAAUAGUAUAUGUGUUUUUUUCCCAAACAGGAAGAAAGUAAUGUUCAUCUUUGACGUUAGCUUUGUAUAUGAUUGAUAGCAAUUUUAUUCAUUUAAUCUGGGCUGCUGCUUGUCUUGGAAAUAUAAAAAUCUACUUUCUGGCUUACUUUAGUCCCAUAUAUAACCUUGAAUUGUUUUGACUGUACUGAUAAUAAAGUUUGAAAAUGCCAAAUUCACAUCGUGAGCUUUCUAAAAAUUUAUUUUGAACUAUGAUUUAUGUAGAAUGAUUUUUGAAAAAAAAAUAGGAUUUCCUAUAGUCAUUUAUGUAAACUCAGAUUAUAGGUUUUAGAUUAUACCAGUUACCUGUAUUCCAAACUAUUUUUUUUCCUUUUCAUCCUCUAAGUUCUGCAGGUUGGCUACACAAUGACUUGUAGAUUUUUCUAAACUAAAUAUAUUUUCAAACAAUAAAAAUAUUGGAAUAUUCAAAAGUAUGGUUCAUCAGAUACGAAACAAUUUACAACUGAAAUGAAAAGUUUUAGAUAACAGCAUUACUGAAAUUAUUUCAGGUCAACUACUUAGGUUGUCAUGUCAGUAUUCCGAAAUAUAAAAUCAAUAACCUAUUAAAAUUGUAAUAUCACAUUAACAGUGUGAAAUGUUAUUUUCUUAUUAUCAGAACAUAAGGAUUUUAGAUUGGAUAUUUAAUAGAUUUUUAAUGUUCAAAGAUGUUAGACUAGGAUGUUAGUGAUAGUGACAGGUUUGUGCAAGUAAAAGGAUAAAAUCUUGUGUAAGUAGUGUUUAAAUGACUUUCACAAUCUAAAAGUUAAGGGUAGAUGAUUUUAUAAUUACCUAAUUUUAUAAUUUUGUAAUUACUCAUUUUUUAAAGAUAUUUUUGCUGCUGAAAAAGAGGCAUGUAUUAGAUAAUAUGAGUCUCUGUAUUAACAUUUCUAACAAGCAUAAUUUUAUCCUUAAACUGUACCUACUUUGGAGUGACACCCAUCUCAUUCAGAAAAGGCUUUUAGGGAUGAGAAAGUUUUUUAGUUUUAAAGUAUUAGCUUCUCCUACAGUUAGUUGUUUGCUGAACUAGUUUUUUGUUUGUUUUUUAAGUGUAUAGAUAAACCAAUGGUCAGCAAACUAUGCCCCUUUAUCUCUUUGUAAAUUGUUAUGGGAACAUAGCUUCCUCAUUCAUUUGUGUAUUAUCCAUGACUACUUUUGUGCUAUAAUUGUCAGACUUGAGUAAGUUGUGAUAGAGACUUUAGGACUACAAACCUUUUAGUUUUAAUACCUGACCCUUUCAAGUCAUCCAACUCUUGUAUCCUGU
rnacentral:lncRNA from 1 species